AUCGAGGAAGCUGCCCUCUCUUCCUCUCUGUGACAUACCCACCUGAAGCCCCAUGAUUUAUGACAGUGUAUUUUGGAGGGUCCCAUAAGGACAUUUUUUUCUUUUCUCUUUCUUUUUCCCAGAGCAAAGUGUGAUGCCCUGCCAGUGAGCGCCUUGUGCAGGUCCAGACGGAGAAGGCAAGCUGCUAAAAGGUAGUGAUUGCAGCACUGAUCUCUUGCAGGCUCUGCAGUGUGAGGAGGUGGUUCUGAAUCACAAUGAACUUAAUUGAACAAGAAAUGGCAUUGAUUUUUCCUUUUCAGACCUCCCCAUUGCUCACAGCAACAGUGUACUGAACCCUCUGCCCAUGCCAAGUAGUGGAACUCCACAGCACAGUAGAAUGGCAGGUGCUGGACACCAGGUCAGCUUGAGCUCAUGUUGGAAAGAGGAGUGGCGCUACCCCUGGUGGCUUGGAACAAACCAUCUCACUCCAGCAGCUUCUAGGGGCCCCCAGGGGAAGUGAAUGCAGCCACAUCAGCACACUGUUAAUCCCAGCUACCAAGCCAGUAUUGUGGGGCUGUGAUCAGCUGGGUUUGGUUGCAAGCAGCCCUGGUGCUGGGGCUGGUCU
rnacentral:lncRNA from 1 species